rnacentral:rRNA from 14 species
AACAGGAUUAGAUACCCUGGUAGUCCACGCCGUAAACGAUGUCUACUAGCCGUUGGGACUCUUGAAGUCUUAGUGGCGCAGCUAACGCACUAAGUAGACCGCCUGGGGAGUACGGCCGCAAGGUUAAAACUCAAAUGAAUUGACGGGGGCCCGCACAAGCGGUGGAGCAUGUGGUUUAAUUCGACGCAACGCGAAGAACCUUACCUGGCCUUGACAUGCAGAGAACUUUCCAGAGAUGGAUUGGUGCCUUCGGGAACUCUGACACAGGUGCUGCAUGGCCGUCGUCAGCUCGUGUCGUGAGAUGUUGGGUUAAGUCCCGUAACGAGCGCAACCCCUAUCCCUAGUUGCUAGCAGUUCGGCUGAGAACUCUAGGGAGACUGCCGGUGACAAACCGGAGGAAGGUGGGGAUGACGUCAGGUCAUCAUGGCCCUUACGGCCAGGGCUACACACGUGCUACAAUGGCGCGCACAGAGGGCUGCAAACCCGCGAGGGGGAGCCAAUCUCACAAAACGCGUCGUAGUCCGGAUCGCAGUCUGCAACUCGACUGCGUGAAGUCGGAAUCGCUAGUAAUCGUGAAUCAGAAUGUCACGGUGAAUACGUUCCCGGGCCUUGUACACACCGCCCGUCACACCAUGGGAGUUGGUUCUACCCGAAGGCGAUGCGCUAACCGCAAGGAGGCAGUCGACCACGGUAGGGUCAGCGACUGGGGUGAAGUCGGAACAAGGUAGCCGUAGGGG